rnacentral:misc_RNA from 1 species
GAUGAAGAACGUAGCGAAAUGCGAUAAGUAAUGUGAAUUGCAGAACUCAGUGAAUCAUCGAAUCUUUGAACGCACAUUGCGCCACCUGGUAUUCCGGGGGGCAUGCCUGUCCGAGCGUCAUUGCUGCCCUCAAGCACGGCUUGUGUGUUGGGCCCCGUCCUCCGAUCCCGGGGGACGGGCCCGAAAGGCAGCGGCGGCACCGCGUCCGGUCCUCGAGCGUAUGGGGCUUUGUCACCCGCUCUGUAGGCCCGGCCGGCGCUUGCCGAUCAACCCAAAUUUUUAUCCAGGUUGACCUCGGAUCAGGUAGGGAUACCCGCUGAACUUAAGCAUAUCAAUAAGCGGAGGA